UACGUAGGGUGCAAGCGUUAUCCGGAAUUAUUGGGCGUAAAGAGCUCGUAGGCGGUUUGUCACGUCUGCUGUGAAAACCCGAGGCUCAACCUCGGGCCUGCAGUGGGUACGGGCAGACUAGAGUGCGGUAGGGGAGAUUGGAAUUCCUGGUGUAGCGGUGGAAUGCGCAGAUAUCAGGAGGAACACCGAUGGCGAAGGCAGAUCUCUGGGCCGUAACUGACGCUGAGGAGCGAAAGCGUGGGGAGCGAACAGG
rnacentral:rRNA from 1 species